CUCACCUUUAAAGGGCCAAUCAGAGAGCAGCACUACUGAAAUAGAACUCUCAGGAGGUAACAGCGUGUCACACAUGUGAUGUCAUAACCAUUGUCCACCAGAGAGCAGCACUGAGCAGAUAUAACACUGCUCCUGCUCAUUCUUCAUCAGUGAGGGGCUGAUGCUGGACACUGUAGGGACCGAGAAUGCAAAGUCAUAUACACUACUGUGACUGAUGCAUUAUUUCCAGGAUGUGGAGUAGCAUUUCCGGACCUACAGCAAGACGUUGGAUGAAGACGUGGAUUUCCAGACCUAGCAAGAAUUUGGAUGAAGGCACAGCCCCUCGAAUCACGCACAUACACAGACACAUUGGCCCAAAUUCUAGAGGUAACCUCCUUUAGUAUGCCCAGAGGAAGGGCAAUACAGUAGCCAUGGAUUCCCUACAGGUUUCCUCCCCUCUGGAGGUUUUUCCUGUCCUGAGUAUUAGUUACUGUACGCUCUUUGUGAGUGAUGGAGGUUACAUAAAAUCCCUACACAAACAUUUUAAUAUAUAAUAAAUAAAGUUCCCCUUUUUAAACCAUU